GAUGGGCUGGAGCUCAGUGUCCCCCUGAUACUGCAGCUCAAACCUUCGUAAGCCAUUUAUGAUCUAGAAGUGGGAAAAGAAACACCUCAUCUUGCAGCUCCCACCUGAAACACCUUUUUACUGGCACCUCUGUUAGCCCCAGGCAGCGAAGGUUCCAGCCCACGAUGAUGCCAUCCAGGCUGCCAAAAAUGCUCUCCACCAGCCACGGGAAGAUGCCAUGUAGUUCCUGCAGGGAAAACAGACACAAAGAAUUAAUGUGCACAAUUCCUGACUUGGACAAUCUCUCCUGCAUGUACUAGAACACACAGAGAUAUGUCAGCCAUUAAUUUAUGUCUGUUUCUGGGUUAUCACAGGGCAUGUCAUCCAUUCAAAACAUUGCACUAUAACAUGGCAAUCAUGGGAGACCUA